GACGAACCGAGCGAACGUUGUUCGGAAUCACUGGGCGUAAAGGGCGCGUAGGCGGGAUGGCAAGUCAGUCGUGAAAUCUCUCGGCUCAACCGAGAAACGUCGGCUGAUACUGCCGUUCUUGAGGGAUGCAGAGGAGACUGGAAUUCCCGGUGUAGCGGUGAAAUGUGUAGAGAUCGGGAGGAACACCGGUGGCGAAGGCGGGUCUCUGGGCAUCUCCUGACGCUGAGGCGCGAAAGCGUGGGGAGCAAACGGG
rnacentral:rRNA from 1 species